GUUAGGAAUCAUUGUAAUUAGGCUAUUGGGUAAUCAGGUGAAAUCCGUUAUGUGCAACGUUACCCGAAAGAGAAUAGGUCAAAAACUAAGUCACUGCUUUGCUCAGGGCAGAAAGCUUCACAAAGGUGCACUGCAGAAUAGAUAAAUCAGUUUCCAGUAUGGUGUACAACUAAGGCCUUAUGAAUACUUUUUAAGCGGCAGCGGUCUGCUAAUUUUGCUGUGGUUAGCAUAAACAUGGCUAUCAGACUGGUGGCAAUGCAAGGAGCACAUUCAGUCCUACAGCCCUUUAGCGAUGUACUUUUCUGUUUCCAUUCAAUGGAUGGACCUUCGUCUUGGGUCCCUUCUGCUGAAAGCCCGGAGAAGGAAAGGCUGCAGUGCUUUUUCCUUUGGAUCAGUUCUUUAUCCAGAAUGCCAGAUGGACAAAACCACCAACUGGAAAGGAGAUCUGCCAAAGAAGAGGGAAAAUAUUUUCAUAUGUGUUAUACAGCUGAUUGGCAUAGAACUUAAUCUCAGCACCUGCUGGAAACACUUCAAGUGUGCAAGUUUUAUGCUGUUAAGGCUUUCCAGUUCAGACCUUCUGCUUUCUCAGCAUUAUGUUACAGGCUGGUCCUGCCUCUGUGGGGUUUUUACAGAGCCCUGUAUGGACUUGCUGAGUGAUGGCCAUGAAAUGGUAAAAUCUAGUGCACUGAGACUCCAGGACAACCUGUUCUUCCUUUUGAAAGUUAUGUAA
rnacentral:lncRNA from 1 species